AUACGGAGGGUGCAAGCGUUAUUCGGAAUCACUGGGCGUAAAGGACGCGUAGGCGGGUUGGCAAGUCAGAUGUGAAAUCCUACAGCUUAACAGUAGAACUGCAUUUGAAACUGCUAACCUAGAGUAUGGGAGGGGGAGAUGGAAUUAGUGGUGUAGGGGUAAAAUCCGUAGAUAUCACUAGGAAUACCGAAAGCGAAGGCGAUCUCCUGGAACAUAACUGACGCUAAGGCGUGAAAGCGUGGGGAGCAAACAGGAUUAGAUACCCUAGUAGUCC
rnacentral:rRNA from 1 species